rnacentral:rRNA from 1 species
CCUACGGGAGGCAGCAGUGAGGAAUAUUGGUCAAUGGGCGCAAGCCUGAACCAGCCAUGCCGCGUGCAGGAAGAAUGCCCUAUGGGUUGUAAACUGCUUUUAUUUAGGAAUAAACCUUUCUACGUGUAGAAAGCUGAAGGUACUGAAUGAAUAAGCACCGGCUAACUCCGUGCCAGCAGCCGCGGUAAUACGGAGGGUGCAAGCGUUAUCCGGAAUCAUUGGGUUUAAAGGGUCCGCAGGCGGGCGUAUAAGUCAGUGGUGAAAUCCUGCAGCUUAACUGCAGAACUGCCAUUGAUACUGUACGUCUUGAAUUCGGUCGAAGUGGGCGGAAUGUGUAGUGUAGCGGUGAAAUGCAUAGAUAUUACACAGAACACCGAUAGCGAAGGCAGCUCACUAGGCCUGGAUUGACGCUCAGGGACGAAAGCGUGGGGAUCAAACAGGAUUAGAUACCCCAGUAGU